rnacentral:rRNA from 1 species
UACGAAGGGGGCUAGCGUUGCUCGGAAUGACUGGGCGUAAAGGGCGCGUAGGCGGUUUGGACAGUCAGAUGUGAAAUUCCUGGGCUCAACCUGGGGGCUGCAUUUGAUACGUUCGGACUAGAGUGGGGAAGAGGGUCGUGGAAUUCCCAGUGUAGAGGUGAAAUUCGUAGAUAUUGGGAAGAACACCGGUGGCGAAGGCGGCUCACUGGCUCGUAACUGACGCUCAUGCACGACAGCGUGGGGAUCAAACAGG